GGGGGGGGGCGAGCGUUAUUCGGAAUUAUUGGGCGUAAAGGGCGUGUAGGCGGCUUCGUAUGUCUCCUGUGAAAGCCCUCGGGCUCAACCGAGGAACUGCAGGAGAAACUGCGGAGAUCGAGUCCGGGAGAGGAGAGCGGAAUUCCCAGUGUAGCGGUGAAAUGCGUAGAUAUUGGGAGGAACACCAGUGGCGAAGGCGGCUCUCUGGACCGGUACUGACGCUGAGACGCGAAAGCUAGGGGAGCAAACGGGAUUAGAUACCCCGGUAGUCCUAGCUGUAAACGAUGAGCACUUGGUGUGGCGGGUAUCGACCCCUGCCGUGCCGAAGCUAACGCAUUAAGUGCUCCGCCUGGGGAGUACGGCCGCAAGGCUG
rnacentral:rRNA from 1 species